rnacentral:tRNA from 1 species
UCUUCGAUGGUCUAGUGGUCAUGAUUUCCGCUUGUCAAUCCACUUCGUGGAUAGCAAGCGCGGGAGACCGGGGUUCGAUUCCCCGUCGGAGAG